rnacentral:lncRNA from 1 species
AGGGGGAGUGGGAGAGGAAGAAGCAGGCUCAUAGCGGAGGAGCCUGAUGUGGGGCUAGAUCCUGUAAACGCCAGAAUCACGCCCUGAGCCGAAGGCAGACGCUUAACCGCUGUGCCACCCAGGCGCCCCAGUAAGUGUCUUUUAUUAAAUAAAGGACAGAGAAAUGAAACGGCCAGUGAUCAGGCUCAAAUAGAUGCAUUCUUAACAAAAAUCAUUGACUUUCAUUCUUGCUCCAUUAAACUUAUCACAAGGAGACACGCCAUUUCUACCAUUACCUUGUGAAUUAGCUUGGUGCACUCUGCUUCAACACAGGAGUGAAGCUGAAUUCAUCCUGAGUUUGAACGAGCAAAGUGACCACACUCUGUUCUCACCUACGGCCCAGAGUUGAGCAAAGAGAAAUAUGUAGGAAAGGCACAAAGGGGUCUUUGACUGCUUUAAAAUUCAAGCAGGACAAGGAGGUGGUCUGUGACUUGCAAAGCCUACGGAGAUAAUUUCCUGGUGUGGGAGGAGUUGGGUCGCUUCCCAGGCCACCUUUGGCCCCUCACAUCCCUUCCACGUUUCCUGAAGUCUGGCUCUGUCUGGCUCCCUUGUUCAAGCUCGGGCACUUCCUGUGGCCCUCUGACUGGCUGGCACCUCCCCGGGAUCACUUCUGCUUCCUCUUUUCCCUCCUCCUCCCCUCACUUCCUGUGCGUGACGAAUCAGGCAAGUUCUGAGGGGGAAGCCACUUGAUUGUGUGGGCUGGUUGGGAUCCGGGCAGCAGGGGGAGACUCUCCCUGUAGGAUCCUGUCCUGGAUUGAGAUUAACUCUUAGUUUAGGGUACUUCAUUACAGCUUUCAGGAUGCAGGACAACUUCUCCAGCAGCAGGCGGGUGUCCCUGUCGAUGAUGGCAUGCCGCUCCCCCUCCAGCUGUGGACAGACACACAAAGAGCCUUUGGAACCACCAGUCACGUCCAUGCUGUUACUGCACAGAGGUCACCCUCCAAAACUCUGUGACAGUGAUGCUGAUGAGGGAGUCACUUCGUGUUUUAAGAGAGGCGUCCUACACUGUUCCGAAGAGGAGAAGAUUGGAGCCCAGAGGAAGUGAAAAUCCUCGUGGUUUAGGGUUAGAAUCUGAUUGAUGUGCUGGCUUGUUGACAAGGAUGGGUCAGCUUCUCUGCUCUGCCCAUUUCAGGUGUCAUUACAACAGCCACGUGAGGAGCACGCACCACUCUGCUCUGGAGGCAUCACCAUCCGCAUAACCACGAGAGUCUUAUUCUCACUAGAUGGUUUACACUUUGAGAAAUAAAUAUUCUGUGGUGGUCA